rnacentral:misc_RNA from 1 species
UUUUUUUUUUUUUUUUUGGGUAUUGCUUGUGUAUGCAUGUGUUUCUUUUCAUUGAUGAAUUAGAAAGCCACUUCUGUUACGGUUUAGUUUUAUGGUUUCCGAACUUGAAUGUGGAAAUUGGUGGAUUGUUUUGUGUACUGGACAAUGAAACUUGUGCAGAUCCAUUAGUUUUGAAUUUUCUCGGGCCAUAGUUGAAUAUCUCAAUUUGGUUUGCCAAUUGAAUCUUUAGAUCAUACUAAGUUGAAACGAGGCCUCCAAGCUGAUAUAUUUUUUUUUUUUCACUUUUGUAUUUCUGGUUAUGAGUUAUGAGCUGUAUCAAUGGCUUUUACUUGACAUAUAUAUGAUUAAUCUGGCUGAAUCCAGCCCCACUAACUUCAAGAUUCAGAUGUAUUUUGAAUGUUUACCUCUAGUUGGAUUCAUUCUUUAAGCUACUUUGCUUCCCCUUUAAGGCUGGGUCCUGUUUGGCAUACUCAGUUGAGGAAGAUUAUUGCAAAUGUGAAAAAUAUGCUGACUUUCUAAAUAUGCUCAAUUUAGAAGUUGUGCACUGGGAAGGCCCUUUUAAUGAUCAAUUUAAUUUUUAAGUUUUAUUGGAUAUGACAUUUUUGUUUUGUUUUAUCACUAAGAUAUUAAAUAAGAAUGGUAUACUGAUCAUGGAGAGACCACCAUAGAAUAUCAUGGCUUAUUUCUAUAUAGAUUUGUUCCCUUAUGGUAUAUGCAUAUUCAUUGUAAACUUUUUGCCAGCCUUAAUGGAAAUCCUGAUAUGGAAUGCUUGGAAGUUCUGAUGGUACAUGUGCAGAACUCUCAGACAAUUUUCAAUCUAGAUUGAACAUUAGAGAAAAACUCUGCCUAUGUGAGCUUAACAAAGCAUUACUGGUCCUGAACGUAGGAAAAGGAGGAAGGUUGCAGUAGUUUGACAGCCAUGUAAAACUCAGUCAAUUCUCAUGAGUAUUGAAUGUUCGGUACAAUCAAGUUUUUCUCUCUUCUGAAUGUUUACCUAAUCCUAAAUUUUGUGACAAACCAUUUAUUCUUGUCUUCUUCUUGAUCACAUUUUCCGGUUUAAGCCUGAAGUUUAUAUUUUUUCCAUGAUUUUCUUUUGUCAUCAAAUAAUUUUUAUAUCCUAUUGUUUUAGAAUUCUAAAGUGAAAAUCAUAAUAAAUUACUACAUAUUACAAUCAGCACAAUUGUGAUGCAUUCUUUCAAGAUGCUACCUUUUUAAACUUGAUCCCUUCAAAAUUAGUUCACUAUUGUUGACAUUCUUGGUAUCUGAGAUUUUCAUCAAGUAAUUUCACCUUAAUUGAGUAGAGUCUGAAUCUAAACACGGGAUUGGCACCAGCGGCAUACUAUCAACAAUUGUUAGUCGUAGGGUGGUAUGAUUUCAUGAUUGAAAAAGCACCUGCUUUGAUUUGGUGUAUUUUAAUAUUCUGCCAUAUCUAAGACUUUUUGGGCAGUAAAAUUUUACUUAACUUACAAAACACAGCUGCUCAAGUUAUAGUUCUUGAACAAAGUUGUUGUGGCAUUAUAUAUUACUAAGGCUUGACAUGACUCUUGAAGGUUGCUGUUCUUUUACAAGGUUCACUGAGCUUAUUGAUCAUAUUUCUUGGUUUACAAUGCAUUUUAUUUCUUUAUUUUUUUCUAGGCCACUCAAUGAGCAAUCAACAUGUAAUUAACCAUGUUCAAAUGUCAAUUUGAACUGCAGUUCAGCUGAGGUACAUCAAGGAGUCUGAAGAAAUACGCCUUGCCAUGCAACCUUGGGCACUGAUAAAAAGAGUGAAGGAAAUUGAACAGGAAGCAUAUGCAGAACCAGAAGUAGUACAACAGAAAGAUACAAAACAAACUGCUGCUGUUGAUCUUUCUAAAAGAUUAAAGGAUUUGCGUUCUAUUAAUGAUGCUGCCAGCUUGAAAGCUCUGGAGGAAUGGCGCAAAAGAAAGAUGGAACGAGCCAGACUACGGGAACGGGAGAAGAAUGGAACAGGGACCUCUCAAGCUUGAUGACCUUCCACAAUUGGUUGUUCCAAUAAUUAUGUGGACUUCAAACCUUCUGCUCCAUAAAAGUCAUUUCAAAAUGUAUACGUGUAUAUAUUGCAACCAUAAUUCCAUGAAAAAUAGAGCACUUGUAUUUGCCAUCUCACAGAUCAUU